GCAACCGUGGAUCUCGCCAAAUCGCCAGGAUCACGACGCCCUGCGCGCACCCCUGCCUACACACACCUGCCGCCGCCUUCCCAGCGCGCGGAGCCGCUCCGCGCCGUCGAUCCUCCAUGGUCAAGGCAUCGGGCGAAACCAGGAAAUAUCGCGGGGCGCGGUGGAGCGUCCCAUGAUGACUGCUCGCGCGGGGGGGUCCAAUGCUGGCGGAAGUGUUGCCGUAGAGCUUCGGCGCCUCGGAACUUCUCGCCAUCGGUGAUGGUCCACCGUGGACCGCAUCCCUCCGCAUCUAUGCUCGACUCCACGCAGGUAUCUGUAUGAACCCAUUCCCCGUGCUCGCCUUGUGGUCCGCGUAGCAUAGCUUAGGUUUUCGGUUGGUAAUAACCGUCGGUUCGCCGGACCCAGGGCGCCGGCCAUGGGCGCCACCAUGGGCUGGCAUGUCACCGUGGCCGUCUGCCGUAAGGUACCUUCUACCUGAUCACCUCGUCCUCGAUUUCGUUUUGCGCACGAAGUUAACCUCAUCCAGUAGUCGGAGCAGUGGAAUUCGGGUGGCCGGCGAAGGGCUCCGCCGUGCGGAGGUGUCCCUGCGCGGCUCCGACUGGGAGGUUGAUGACGCUGGGGCGUCCGUAGAUUAGAAAAUGAACGGCCCGGAUCGAAUCUGUGGCUCGGUUUAGCUAGGGCUGCGCUCGACCGUGGGAUUCAAAUCAUGCGCACGCGAGUAGUUUGGAGCAUUUAAAAAUCGUGCCCGCAAAUCUGGCAUCCGACGGCUGAGUUUGGGUACCGGUUCGCGGGGGCUACGAUGUAAUCCGAGCGCUCGGCUUUUAAUUCAACGGCCGAUAUUAAGCGAUACCCCUUCGGCUCUGGCUUUUUGCGUAAGAAACCCUGGGGUUAAAAGAAUUCAACCCGCCGUCCUUACCAGGGGCGCUCAGAGUCUUGAGAUAACUUACAUGUUGGCCCCUGCGCUUACCAGAAAUUGACGCCCACUCCAGGGAAUUAUAAAACCAGAGAAAAUAAACCAGAAAUGUAUUUUUAGUAUAAAUAAUUGCAGAAACUUGUUUAAACCCUAGAAAAUUCAUAUGAACUCCAAAUUGAUCCAUUCCAAUUCCUAUAAUUUUGUAAUAAUGUUGUUUAUCACCCUGUGUCUCUGAUUUAACAUGAAAAUGGUAUUAAAAAUUUAUCUCUUAAUUAAUCUCGUACCAAAUACAUAAACCUUGGAAAAUUCAUAACUCUUCCGUUUUAACCCCGAUUUGAUCCGUUCAAGUUGCGUUGGUCUCGUAGAAACGCGUAGAUUAUUAUUACGCAAUUUAUUCUUAUGAUUGGUGUGAUGUUAAUCUUGCGUAUACCAUGUUUGUUUGUAUUGCUACGACUAGCGUGAGGACACGUGUCAUCUGAAGAGCAAGUUGGUACCUGGAAUCUCAAGCCCUAGGCAAGUUGUGCCCUUGAUCACUUCUUUUACCCACUCAUGUUCUAAUUAAUCAUAAUGAUCUGCAUAGGUUAAUUUUGAUGGGACCCAAUAGGUUACCCUAGUUUGAUUAUCUUUAUACCUUGUUUACCACUGAACUUUUUGGGUAGUACUUGCUAGUGCUUUUAUGUGGUUUUGGGUAUGAGGAUACAUUAUUCAUGAUCACACUGUUAUUAUCUGUUUAUUAUUACUGUUCAUGAUAAGAUCAUUAUGUUAAUUGGAACAUGGAGAACCACCCGGGAAAACAGUGCUACCACAAGGGUUUAAUGGGACGCCCUUGGCCGAUUAAUUAGGAAAGCUAGUGGAAGACUACCUUACCUGAAAGGGGCAAGGGCAGUAGGGGAGUGGUCAGUGUAGGGAGGCCCUCGGGAGGAUUUUGCUGUGAUGGCGGUCCUGCAAGGGAUUCCUGGGGAGGCCCUCGGGAGGAUUUUGCUGUGAUGGCGGUCCUGCAAGGGAUUCCUGGGGAGGCCCUCGGGAGGAUUUUGCUGUGAUGGCGGUCCUGCAAGGGAUUCCUGCAUUGGAGCUUCCUAUAAACUGUAGCGGGUUUUCUGAAGCUAGUGGAACUUUGUAAAGGCCUCGUAGUGUUACCCUGCCUCGCCUCCUCGGUAGAGGUGUAUGGAAAGUCGCGAUCCCUUGGCAGAUGGGUAACAUGACUUGUGGGUAAAGAUGCGCAACCUCUGCAGAGUGUAAAACUGGUAUACUAGCCGUGCUCACGGUCAUGAGCGGCUCGGACACUCACAUGAUUAAUUUAUGGAACUUAAAUUCAAUUUGUCAUAUGCAUUGCAUCGCAGGUGAUGUUGUUACUUCUGUUCUACUACUUAAUUGGGUUGGUAUUUACUUAUACUUAGUAAUUGCUAAUAAAAUUUUGACCAACUUUAAAAGCAAUGCUCAGCUUCAACCAUCUCCGUUGGUAAGCCUUACACUUCACGUGAGCUCCCACCUUUGGCGAGUUCAUUCACAUUAUUCCCCACAACUUGUUGAGCAAUGAACGUAUGUGAGCUCACUCUUGCUGUCUCACACCCCCCCACAGGUCAAGAACAGGUACCGCAUGUUGAGGCGCUUGGAGGAUGCUGCGAUGUGUUCGUGAGUGGUCUAGGCCGUCGUCUCCCAGUCAACUUUGGGUUGCUGGACCGUUGUCU
rnacentral:lncRNA from 1 species